rnacentral:snoRNA from 1 species
ACCCUGUAGAUUCCUUACCCAUCAGACUUAACCACUGGUCUGAGUGCCUAGAAAGGAGGAAAAGUAACAUUGAAACGGACUUAAAUUCUUGGUGACAGACAAGC